AAAAAAGAAGAUGUGUUGUUAUCUUCAAAGGAAUAAGAAUUAAUCCGAGAGAUCUCUAUGGCCACAAAAUACAAGGCUGUUCAAAAUAGUUUACUGCAAAUCCAUCUUUGAAAUUCAUCAAUAUUGGGGGUGUGACUAAGUUUUUUCGUCAACCCUAGACAAACCAAGAUGCACCCCUUUUGAUAUGAUUUCAAGUAUAAUAAUGCUCUCGAGGAGCAUCGUAAAAUUCGUGAUUGGAGUUAUUAAUUUACAUACAGCUACUCUGUGUUCAAAGCAAUACAUAAAAAAUAGAACCUGGGAUCCCCCCAGAGGCUGAAUAGUGAGAUAUUUCAAUUUGCUAUGUAUAACACCUGCUCUGAAAGAUUGGUUUUGCAGGCCUAUUCUAGAAGCAUCAGAUAACCCGUACAGUAUUUCAGGAAGCGAUUUUAGUCAUCGUGCGCAUUCUACUUCUACUGCACGGUAGUAGGGAGAUCUCUGAAGUGACGAAACUCACUUUGUCAGAGUCGAAAUUCAAAGCUAUACACGAGAUUUCAAAAUACAAAACUGACAUCCUGAUUGAUUUUAGAGAAUUUUUUAUCUCAAAAUAAGGCAGGAUUGAAACUAGAGUGUGAUGUGAAGAUGACCGCCGUAUUGGAUAGGAGGUGAAGAUUAAUUAGCAAUUAUAAAAACCGACAAGACAUUGGGAAUCUAAGUCAGAGAUGCGGAAGGGAAAGAAGAUUUCAACAAGCGUCCAAAGCCCAAAGGUUUGAAUUUAACGAUGCUGAUGAUUUUACGAAGCAUACUUCUGAAGAGAUCAUCUUGGACGAGGACAAGUACGCCA
rnacentral:lncRNA from 1 species